rnacentral:lncRNA from 1 species
GCUCUCAGCAGUGAGAUGCCGAAAAGAACAGAGGCUUGGCAUAAAUAAGCCAGCUUGCUGGGGCCAGUGGAAGAAGCCUUGCUGUCCCCAUGAAGUGGCUCCUAUGCAAUGAAUACAGAAGCUUGGCCACAGACGGAGCCGACAGGCAGAGGAAGGAAGAGACUGCCGUGUGAGCCGAGAGACCUAUGCACGGGGAAGCAGCAGGCUCUGGCAGACUGAAUGGCAGUGUAUAUACAGCCAGCCUUAAUCAGCCCUUCAGGGAACCAGCGACAACCUUGAGUCACAGCACACGGAGCCUCAGGCGUGUGGAUUCUGCCAGUCCACAUGCCAUGCUUUCUUGGCAGCACUGGGAGCAGAAAGCACAGAGAAGGCAUUCUGAAAUGGGCACAGGGCGCAGGGCAGCGUGCAAGGGGCAGGGCAAGCAAAGCAGACGGCUCCCGGCUGGACGUGGUAACCUGGCAGCAGGGAGGCCUGGAGAAGCAGCCCAAGCAAGCCCCGAAGUCAUAAAGUUCUAACGCCAUUUCAUUCAAUGAGCAGACGUGACUAGAAUAAUGGGAAGCUCACACCUGUAAUCCCAGCACUGAAGACGCACAGACAGCUGGGCUGCUGAGUUCAAGGUUUGUCUAGGCUGACCAACGCAGAGCAAAGCUCAGCAAACAAUCCAUUAUGCCCUCCCGAAUGACGCUUCACAGCAGCCCGGCCCCUACCGAAGGCUCAGCGUUCUCUUGUCCCGUCCUGGCCUGCUCUCUGCUCUCCCUAACCUAGAAAGCACACCCCACGCAACGCUCAGACCGCUGCCUGAGAAAUGUCCUUGCAUUUUUGCCUACCCGACAGGUGAGGAUCUUCCACAACACCGUGUGUGCUCUCAACAUGCCUGGCCACCACAGGUGCUGCACACAGCAGUCGCCUGCCACUGUUCUUCAGUGUGGAGCAGUGUUUCAUGGCUACCUUCAGCUGCUAUGUAAUGGAGAACCCAGGUGCCAAACAUGUUUAGCACUAGCUAGUUCCAAUGUCUGAAAACAUGAGGAAGAGGUAGAAGGUAGCUAAAAAGGGGUCUAAGAAAGAAAGGCUGAUUGAUAUGAGACUGGAGAAGGCAGGGAGGGGCCCUAAAGGUCCCUUCUUGCUCUACACCCUUUCUGCCUGUCAAAGACAGGGUCUUGCCUUGUUAGCCCAGAACUUCUGAACUUAUGGACCCUUCCACCUCAGUCUCUGGAGCGCUAGGCCUCUACCACCGUAUCAUAUCCAGAAGCUUCUCUCAGGACUCAACCUAAGGCUUUUAAAUUCUGAGACAAUGGCGGGGUGGGGAGCAGGACACGAUUAAGCUGGGUGUGGUGGCACUUGCCAGAAAUCCUACCUACACUAAUAGGCUAGUCACUUUAGUGCAGAAGUAAGGCCAGUCUCGGUAAGUAGCAAAAUCUUCCUCAAGGCCAAGCUACACAGAUCAGAACAAAGUGGUAAGCAGCAGCAGACAAAAGCAGUACUGGACAGCUCUCACUCACUUAUCCAUAAAUCAUUCACUGAAGACUUAGUAUGUCAUAGACAACAGGCCAAAUAGGCUAAAAUUAAAAAAAAAAAAAUUGAUAGUGGGGAACCAUUUUAGGUUUUAUGGUAAGCACUUCAACUAAUGAUCUCAUUUAGUUCUCACAAUAGCCCCCAGCAAAGUGUUCUGAACCACCAGGCCACACUACCCUGGGAGCCCUCCUGGGAGCCUGAGAAUACCCACCAAACGGAGCUCUCAGUGUGGUGGCACACACCCGUAAUCACUGCACUUGGGAGGUAGAGGCAAGAGGAUCAGAAGUUCAAGGCCAACCUGAGCUGUACGAAGUCUUGUCUCAAUCCUUUCCCCACCCACUCCCAAAGGCUCCCCAAGAGGCAUGAAUGGGACAGGUAGAGGACAGCCCUGUGACUUAGUGAUGUCACAAAAGUCAGUAGUAUGUGAACAUGACCACAGUGAUCUGUAGCCAGCUCCCACGCAGGAGCACUCUGGAGAGAUACCGUGAGCGGUACAUUCCCUUCAGUUGUGUCCUGUGGGCCAGGACGGGGCCCUUGCACAGGCACGGGGCCCAGCCAUGGAUGGAGACACUGCACUUAGCUGGAAAAUGGGCGGAAGUUGGUGGGGCCAUAAUGGAUGCACUGGAGUUGCCAGACGGCUCAGACAGGAAGGCUCGACUCACCAACCAGAGCCAGAGGCGGCUCCUACAGGAAGGGUUAAAUAGGAGUCUGCCAAUAGAAAAGGCAGGGAAGGGGAAGGAAAUGGUUUCUUUCUCUGCUGAAAAUCUGAUUAAAACAAAGCUGUAUGGC